AGGGCGGGCAUGCUACACAUGCAGUCGAGCGGCUGCACUGGACUUCGGUCUGUGUGUGCGAGUGGCGGACGGGUGAGUAAUGUAUCGGAACGUGCCCGGUAGUGGGGGAUAACUUCUCGAAAGGAAAGCUAAUACCGCAUACGCCCUACGGGGGAAAGCGGGGGAUCGUAAGACCUUGCGCUAUUGGAUGGGCCUAUGUCGGAUUAGCUAGUUGGUGGGGUAACGGCUCACCAAGGCGACGAUCCGUAACUGGUUUGAGAGGACGACCAGCCACACUGGAACUGAGACACGGCCCAGACUCCUACGGGAGGCAGCAGUGGGGAAUUUUGGACAAUGGGGGAAACCCUGAUCCAGCCAUCCCGCGUGUGCGAAGAAGGCCUUCGGGUUGUAAAGCACUUUUGGUAGGAAAGAAAGGUCGUGGGUUAAUACCCCGUUGAUCUGACGGUACCUGCAGAAUAAGCACCGGCUAACUACGUGCCAGCAACCGCGGUAAUACGUAGGGUGCAAGCGUUAAUCGGAAUUACUGGGCCUAAAAGGUGCGCAGGUGGUUCGGAAAGAAAGAUGUGAAAUCCCCGAGCUUAACUUUGGGAACUGGGUUUUUAACGAGGGGGGCUAGAGUGUGGGAGAGGGGUGGGGAAUUCUCCCUGUGUGGCAGUGAAAUGCGUAGAUAUAUGGAGAGACACGGAGUGCAGAGGCGACCUCCUUGGGGGCCACUCGCACGCGUGGAGCGAAUCGUGGGUUGACAAAAAGAUUAGAUGCCCCGGGCGGGG
rnacentral:rRNA from 1 species